rnacentral:misc_RNA from 1 species
UUUCCGUAGGUGAACCUGCGGAAGGAUCAUUAUCGUCUGGGGGAAACCCCACGAGAUAGCACCCUGUCUUUUCAAGUACCAACCACCGUUUCCUCGGCGGGCUCGCCCGCCGGCGGAGAUGCAACCAAACCCUUUUGCAGUAGAAGUACAGUCUGAAAUAAAAAACAAAUUAAUUAAAACUUUCAACAACGGAUCUCUUGGUUCUGGCAUCGAUGAAGAACGCAGC